GAUGAACGCUGGCGGCGUGCCUAAUACAUGCAAGUCGAGCGAACGGACGAGAAGCUUGCUUCUCUGAUGUUAGCGGCGGACGGGUGAGUAACACGUGGAUAACCUACCUAUAAGACUGGGAUAACUUCGGGAAACCGUAGCUAAUACCGUAUAAUAUUUUGAACCGCAUGGUUCAAAAGUGAAAGACGGUCUUGCUGUCACUUAUAGAUGGAUCCGCGCUGCAGUAGCUAGUUGGUAAGGUAACGGCUUACCAAGGCAACGAUGCAUAGCCGACCUGAGAGGGUGAUCGGCCACACUGGAGCUGAGGCACGGUCCAGACUCCUACGGGAGGCAGCAGUAGGGAAUCCUGCGGAAUGGGCGAAAGCCUGACGGAGCAACGCCGCGUGAGUGAUGAAGGUCUUCGGAUCGUAAAACUCUGUUAUUAGGGAAGAACAUAUGUGUAAGUAACUGUGCACAUCUUGACGGUACCUAAUCAGAAAGCCACGGCUAACUACGU
rnacentral:rRNA from 1 species